rnacentral:rRNA from 1 species
AACGAACGCUGGCGGCAUGCCUAACACAUGCAAGUCGAACGAACCCUUCGGGGUUAGUGGCGCACGGGUGCGUAACGCGUGGGAAUCCGCCCUUUGCUUCGGAAUAACAGUUAGAAAUGACUGCUAAUACCGGAUGAUGUCUUCGGACCAAAGAUUUAUCGGCAAGGGAUGAGCCCGCGUGGGAUUAGGUAGUUGGUGGGGUAAAGGCCUACCAAGCCGACGAUCCUUAGCUGGUCUGAGAGGAUGAUCAGCCACACUGGGACUGAGACACGGCCCAGACUCCUACGGGAGGCAGCAGUGGGGAAUAUUGGACAAUGAGCGCAAGCCUGAUCCAGCAAUGCCGCGUGAGUGAUGAAGGCCUUCGGGUCGUAAAGCUCUUUUACCAGGGAUGAUAAUGACAGUACCUGGAGAAUAAGCUCCGGCUAACUCCGUGCCAGCCGCCGCCGUAAUAC